rnacentral:rRNA from 1 species
UACAGAGGUCUCAAGCGUUGUUCGGAUUCAUUGGGCGUAAAGGGUGCGUAGGCGGCGCGGUAAGUUGGAUGUGAAAUCCUGGGGCUCAACCCUAGAACUGCAUUCAAUACUGCCUUGCUGGAGUACUGGAGAGGAGAUUGGAAUUUACGGUGUAGCAGUGAAAUGCGUAGAUAUCGUAAGGAAGACCGGUGGCGAAGGCGGAUCUCUGGACAGUUACUGACACUGAGGCAUGAAGGCCAGGGGAGCAAACGGG